ACACAAAGACACACACAUACAAACACAUAUAUCUAGGUCAAGGCAGCCAGGGAUAAUAGGGAAAGCCUGAGGCGAUUCUGCCCAGCAAAUGAUCUUAUAAAAUGAUUAAAGAGUGGUUUCUGAAAACAGUGAAAGCACAUUGAAGGAUAUGUAAGGUAAUGUAGAUGUGUCAAUAUGUUUGUACUUGUGAGUACAAACUCAAUAGUAUUUACUCAAAGACUCCAUCAGAAGAGGAAGUGAAGAGGCUGUGGGGGUUAGGAUGGUGGUUCAGUGGUUUUUCAACUGAAAAUAAAGCCUAUGCAAGUCCUUCAGUGAAGGUAUUGCAAGAAGGUCAUGCAAUCUUUUUUUUUUUUUUUUUUGGGAUAACCACAUUUUAUCCUUUAGUCAAUAUAUGACCACAACGUGGUUAAUACUGAUUUUGUUUUUGAUCCACACAAUACAGGCAAGCAUUAAAGUGGGAAGACGGUCAAUAUUUUUUCUUUUCUUUCUUUUAAAAUGUUUUAAAACUUUACACUUUAAAGAAGAAGCCUUUUUAACUCAUUUCAUCUUUUAAUGAGGAGGUAAUCAAAGCAGUGAGAAGGUCUCAUAUCAUUCUUUUUUUUAUUGUUUCCCAGAAAAUGAAAUUUAAAAAAUAAAAUAAAGAAAUACGCAAAAAUAAAGAAAAAUCAAAAAUAAGAAAAAUUGUAAGAAAGGGGUGUUGGUAUAUUUUAAAGGUUAGAAGAUAAUAAAUAAUGAAAACAUGAGGAUAAAAAGACAGAGUAUACUUAUAGAUGUUUGAAGACUGACGAUGCAGAUAUUUUUAGUUUUGGCAAACUGCUAAAAAUUUUCAUCUGACCACUUUUUUUCUUUUUUUUUGUUAAAUGAAUUGGCUCUAUUGAAAAGUGUAGACAGAUAUGCAAACAAGCUGAAUAUGUGUUAAUGACUGUUAGCUUAGUGUGUGAAUAGCAAGGUGUUGAUUAGUGCUGUUGCAAGCCGCUGUAGCCAAGACAAGCCUGGCCCACUGUGGUGAGUUACAGCACACAGCUUCAGCCAACAAUAACGAACUUCUGUUUCCAUUAACAGUUCUCCAAGUCACUUCAACUCUUGUCCUGACAGAGGCGAUGCUGUCUUACUGCAGAGCUGCUGUUUGCCCUCUGGCCAUGUGGGGAAAGAAGGGAUAGGAUAAAUGAGACCCUUCUGGACAGCGGUGAAGUGACCCACAUGUUUUC
ensembl:lncRNA